UCCUUGCAGUUGGUUUGUUGCGAGGUUCUGUACAGAAACAACCGGGUCACACUUCCCAGCGGGAUGAUGUCGGCGGUUUCACUCAGUCUGUUCCUGGCGUUAAUAGUCCGUGUCCAUUCCGAUGUCGUUCUCACUCAGCCCAAGACAGGGACCGCCACUCCUGGAGGCUCCAUCACACUGAACUGUAAAACCAGCGGGUCCACUCUUAGCAGCGACUAUAUGUAUUUGGUCCGUCAGGUCCCCGGGCAGGGGCUGGAGUGGCUGCUUGCCUACCGCACGCCGUCUCACACCAAGUACUUCGCUCCGGGGAUAGAGAGCCGAUUUACUCCGUCCACAGACAAUUCGAAUAAUAUGUUCACCGUGAUCGCCAGGAACCUGAGGAUCGAAGACACCGCUGUCUAUUACUGUGCGAAAUGGGGUCACGGUGCUGCAAACAGCGACUUCCCCGUACAAAAACCUGGACACCUAGUUGUAUCCUGCUCCAACCUACAAGCACCGUAGGAGAGGCCGUGUGAA